UUCCUUUAUUUGUCUUUCCUUGGUAGCACAAAAACUUCCAGAGUGGCCUUGCAGAGGAGAAUGAUGUUACCAUUAUCUCUGAGGUUUCUAUUACCAUCAGUGCUGCCACAGAAAGAAGACUUUCCAAGUGUAUGAUGUUUAUUUUAAUCUCUUUUCACAGAUGUUAUGUGGGAAUGAGGUAUUAAAUAAUGUUACUUAGAUCUGGGAACACAGAUGGGUAAAUUGCACAGAGAAGAGGUCUUUAUUAAGGCUGCUUUCAGAUGAGGUCCUUAAUCCUACCUGAUCACGGUAAAAGAAGUGUGGUGGUGUUGUGAACCUGGCCCAAAGAAUCAAGAGGGGAACAGGCUUCUCUUUUUCAAGACCUCUUAGAAGGAAAAAGCCCACUUCACUGUACUGUGGGACCAACAAAUCUGAUGCAUGUGCAACUGGUGUGGAAGCCUGACACUGUCAAAAUUUGUUAUCAUGGGCUCUCUGCCAUCACCCCAGCUGGCAAAAAUGGGACACAGUUCCACUGCAUGAAUGGAAGGUCAGCCAGACGCUGCUCUGCUGUCACACAGAGAGGAGGCUUUCUGGGCUGACUUUCCUGGAAGUUCCUAAUGAUGCAUUUUGACCUCUCUGUUUUACAGACACCUUGCAGUCAGUGAUACUCACAGAGUGGCACUCUUUGAAACUGACACAUACUUCAUCUGCUUGUGAAAUGUUGCAACCAAGGAUACCUCCUGUAAAAUUUUAUUUGUAGCCCCACUGGAUCCUUUAAUAAAGGAUGCUUCUGAAUCUUA